AACCUACUUCGUCCUGAGGCUCAAACAGAAUUCUGCUUUCUUUUCAAAACAUUUUCUUUUUUAGUUUGAAGGCUUUUUAACAACUGUUAGUGUACAGAUGAUUUGGAUAUUAAAAUGUUUUUUUCCUGCCUCUAAAUGGAAAAUUAUCCUGCCAUUCAUGAUGUUGUUCUGCUACCGUGGAUCCUGUCAUGGGGAGAGGGACAAGAAAAUCAAGCAGGAGGGGACCAACACACCAUACAGCUCCUCAAGAAUAGAAGACUGUAGUCUGGACAAAUUUGCUGAAACUGAUCUUAUUUCUCCGAUGGUUGGUAAGUAAAAUCUUACCAAAGAGACCGAAGAAAAUACUGUAAUUACAAAAGAGUUUUAAUUGCCCCUUUUUAUAGGGCCUGAUUCUCUGUAACUUUUAUUUACCUCUAGAACCAAUAGAAGUGAAAGCAACAGACACAAUCUAUCAUGGAGAGAAGAACAACAACAUCACAGUUGAUUUGACCUUCGAGACCAAACCGGUCUGCCCCCAAAAGAACAUAUAUUUAGUCAUUUAUUGUCUAUUGAUUCUGAAACAGACAUUGUUAUAUGAGUAUGUGGUCCAUGAUGGUGUUGAGGUGUCAGAAUCUCAGGAUGAACAGUUUUCAGGACGAGUCCAGAGAGACAAAGACGUCUUCAGAGAAGGACGAAUCAGCAUCCAUGUAUCCAGACUGAGGACUGAAGACUCUGGAGAAUAUGCCUGUAAACUGCAAAUAGGCUGUUGCCUCGGCAAGGGCAAAUUUACUCUUAAUGUUACUGGU